rnacentral:rRNA from 1 species
CCUACGGGAGGCAGCAGUGGGGAAUUUUCCGCAAUGGGCGAAAGCCUGACGGAGCAACGCCGCGUGAGGGAUGAAGGCCUCUGGGCUGUAAACCUCUUUUAUCAAGGAAGAAGAUCUGACGGUACUUGAUGAAUAAGCCACGGCUAAUUCCGUGCCAGCAGCCGCGGUAAUACGGGAGUGGCAAGCGUUAUCCGGAAUUAUUGGGCGUAAAGCGUCCGCAGGCGGUCUUGUAAGUCUGUCGUUAAAGCGUGGAGCUCAACUCCAUUUCGGCGGUGGAAACUACAAGACUAGAGUGUGGUAGGGGCAGAGGGAAUUCCCGGUGUAGCGGUGAAAUGCGUAGAUAUCGGGAAGAACACCAGUGGCGAAGGCGCUCUGCUGGGCCAUAACUGACGCUCAUGGACGAAAGCUAGGGGAGCGAAAGGGAUUAGAUACCCCUGUAGUCCUAGCCGUAAACGAUGAACACUAGGUGUCGGGGGAAUCGACCCCCUCGGUGUCGUAGCUAACGCGUUAAGUGUUCCGCCUGGGGUAGUACGCACGCAGUGUGAACUACAAGAAGUAGACGGCGUGAGACGUGCCGACGGCGACGACGAGGGAGGUAGG